UUCUGUAGGUGUCACAUUUUGAGGACUAUAAUAAAGGAGGAUACUGUGGGUGUUGGAGAGGACCCACUGAAAAAUGUGAGUGCACGAAAGGAUCUCACAGAUGAACAUGUGGCCCCUGACACUCCAGCCACCUCUUCUGCACCAGUCUCACCUCCAGCUGAGGC